GGGCGAGUGGCGAAAUUGGUAGACGCACUGGAUUUAGGUUCCAGCGCCUAAUCAGCGUGAGAGUUCGAGUCUCUCCUCGCCCACCA
rnacentral:tRNA from 1 species